AUUAAGGUGGCAGAACAAGUGCAUUAGGUUUAAGCCCUAAAUAUGAAGAUUAAUGUCUUCUCUUAAUA
rnacentral:tRNA from 1 species